rnacentral:rRNA from 1 species
UACGUAGGGUGCAAGCGUUAAUCGGAAUUACUGGGCGUAAAGCGUGCGCAGGCGGUUUUGUAAGACAGUGGUGAAAUCCCCGGGCUCAACCUGGGAACUGCCAUUGUGACUGCAAAGCUAGAGUGCGGCAGAGGGGGAUGGAAUUCCGCGUGUAGCAGUGAAAUGCGUAGAUAUGCGGAGGAACACCGAUGGCGAAGGCAAUCCCCUGGGCCUGCACUGACGCUCAUGCAUGAAAGCGUGGGGAGCAAACAGGAUUAGAUACCCCUGUAGUCC